rnacentral:rRNA from 1 species
CUACGGGCGGCAGCAGUGGGGAAUCUUAGACAAUGGGGAAACCCUGAUCUAGCCAUGCCGCGUGAGUGAUGAAGGCCUUAGGGUCGUAAAGCUCUUUCGCCAGGGAUGAUAAUGACAGUACCUGGUAAAGAAACCCCGGCUAACUCCGUGCCAGCAGCCGCGGUAAUACGGAGGGGGUUAGCGUUGUUCGGAAUUACUGGGCGUAAAGCGCGCGUAGGCGGGCUGUUAAGUUAGAGGUGAAAUCCCGGGGCUCAACCCCGGAACUGCCUUUAAUACUGGCAGCCUAGAGUUCGAGAGAGGUGAGUGGAAUUCCGAGUGUAGAGGUGAAAUUCGUAGAUAUUCGGAGGAACACCAGUGGCGAAGGCGGCUCACUGGCUCGAUACUGACGCUGAGGUGCGAAAGCGUGGGGAGCAAACAGGAUUAGAUACCCUCGUAGUC